rnacentral:rRNA from 1 species
AACGAACGCUGGCGGCAGGCUUAACACAUGCAAGUCGAACGCCACGCAAGGGGAGUGGCAGACGGGUGAGUAACGCGUGGGAACAUACCCUUUCCUGCGGAAUAGCUCUGGGAAACUGGAAUUAAUACCGCAUACGCCCUACGGGGGAAAGAUUUAUCGGGGAAGGAUUGGCCCGCGUUGGAUUAGCUAGUUGGUGGGGUAAAGGCCUACCAAGGCGACGAUCCAUAGCUGGUCUGAGAGGAUGAUCAGCCACAUUGGGACUGAGACACGGCCCAAACUCCUACGGGAGGCAGCAGGGGGGAAUAUUGGACAAUGGGCGCAAGCCUGAUCCAGCCAUGCCGCGUGAGUGAUGAAGGCCUUAGGGUUGUAAAGCUCUUUCACCGAUGAAGAUAAUGACGGUAGUCGGAGAAGAAGCCCCGGCUAACUUCGUGCCAGCCGCCGCAGUAACAC